rnacentral:sRNA from 1 species
AUGCCAGGUUUUCUUUUCCGGGCUCCCACAGCUCAGCCUGAGUGGCUAAAAGUGAUCUCGGACACAGAGGCUGACAUUGGCUCCAACCUGCGUUGGGGCUGUGCAGCUGCCGGCAAACCCCGGCCUACAGUGCGCUGGCUGCGGAACGGGGAGCCUCUGGCCUCCCAGAACCGGGUGGAGGUGUUGGCCGGGGACCUGCGGUUCUCCAAGCUGAGCCUGGAGGACUCGGGCAUGUACCAGUGUGUGGCAGAGAAUAAGCACGGUACCAUCUACGCCAGUGCCGAGCUAGCCGUGCAAGCACUCGCCCCUGACUUCAGGCUGAAUCCCGUGAGGCGUCUGAUCCCCGCGGCCCGCGGGGGAGAGAUCGUUAUCCCCUGCCAGCCCCGGGCAGCUCCAAAGGCCGUGGUGCUCUGGAGCAAAGGCACGGAGAUUUUGGUCAAUAGCAGCAGAGUGACUGUAACUCCAGAUGGCACCUUGAUCAUAAGAAACAUCAGCCGGUCAGAUGAAGGCAAAUACACCUGCUUUGCUGAUAACUUCAUGGGCAAAGCCAACAGU